ACAGAAAUUAGUUAAGAAAUAACAUUAGUUUGUCAGGCUAAAGUAAUCACAUUCAUGAUAUUUUUG
rnacentral:tRNA from 1 species